rnacentral:lncRNA from 1 species
AAAAAAAAAAAAAAAAAAAAAAAAAAAAAAGAAACGAUCAAAUGAUAAAGGGCUAAAACUCUAAGUACACAAAGAAUGUUAAUAAGAAACAGAUGUACAACCAAGUAGAAAAAAUUGCAAACAAUACAAAUAGGUAGUUUAUUUAAAAAAAAAAAAAGAAAUAUAAACAACCAAUAAACAUGCCCUGAUUUCAACUUACAAAUAAAAAACUGCAAAACAGGAGUUCUGAUUAUAGCACAGCGGGUUAAGGAUCCAGCGUUGCCAGAGUUGUGGCAUAGGUCACAGCUGUGGCUAGGAUUUGAUCCCUCACCUGGGAACAAAAAACAAACAAAAAAACCCCCACUGCAAACAGAAAAAAAAGAAAAUGUGUUGUUGUUUUCAUUGAGUUUGCAGUUUUUUGUUUUGGGUUUUGUUUUUUUUUUUUUUUUCGUUUUUGGCCACCCCACUGCAUAUGGAGCUCCCAGGCCAGGGAUCCAAUCUGAGCCGCAGCUGUGACCCACACCGCUGCUGUGACAACCCCAGAUCCAUAACCCACUGUGCCAGGCCAGGGAGCAAACCUGCAUCCUACAGCUCCCCAAAUGCUGCCAAUCCCAUUGCGCCACAUUGGGAACUCCAGAGUUAGUAGUUUUUAAAAGAUUGAUUAAUACCCAGUAUUGCCCAGUGUGUGCAGCCUAGAGGGAAGCAGACUUCUUAUGACCAAGAAAUAGCCUUGAGGAUGGAGGCCAUGCCCAGAGAUGAUGGAUUGGAAAGUCAGGAGGAAGCUGGGAUACCCACAAAGUACCCUGGAGCUGCUGAACCAGCCCAGCACUGCUGACCUCUGGUCUUGUUGCAAAGAAAAGCAAAACCUUAUUCAGUUAAGUUCCACUCCAUUCCAACACAUGCUGCCUAACACAAUCCUACUCAAUCUAAGAAUUAAAGAAGUCUUCCAGGAGUUAUUGUUAACAAUGCACUUUCAUGAAUUUUUUUUUUUUUCUCUUUUUGCCAUUUCUUGGGCUGUUGCCGCUGCAUAUGGAGGGUCCCAGGCUAGGGGUGGAAAUGGAGCAGCAGCCGCCAGCCUACACCACAGCCACAGCAACGCAGGAUCCGAGCCGAGUCUGUGACCUACACCACAGCUCAUGGACCUACACCACAGCUCAUGGCAACGCCAGAUCCUUAACCCACUGAGAGGGGGGUCAAACCCGCAACCUCAUGGUUCCUAGUCAGAUUAGUUAACCACUGAGCCAUGAUGGAAACUUCAUGAAUUUUAAACUUUAUUCUGAUAGCAAUAUUUUUUGUAAAGCACUUUAUUUUUAUUAUUUUUGGUCUUUUCUAGGGCCGCACCAGCAGCAUAUGGAGGUUCCCAGGCUAGGGGUCUAAUCAGAGCUGUAGCCGCUGGUCUACACCAUAACCACAGCAACUUGGGAUCCAAGCCAAGUCUGCAACCUACUCCACAGCUCAUGGCAAUGCAGGAUCCUUAACCCACUGAGGGAUGCCAGGGACCGAACCUGCAAUCUCAUGGUUCCUAGUUGGAUUCAUUAACCACUGAGCCACGACGGGAACUCCCACAACAGUUUUGUUAACAAUGCACUUUCACAAAUUUUAAAUUUUAUUGAUAGCAAAAUUUUUGUGUGUGUGUGUAAAGCACUUUAUUUAGUCUUUUGUCUUUUGAGGGCCGCAACCGCAGCAUAUGGAGGUUUCCAGGCUAGGGGUCUAAUCAGAGCUGUUGCUGCCAGCCUACACUGAGAGCCACAGCAUCGCCAGAUCCUAGUCUGUCUUCGACCUACACUACAGCUCACAGCAACGCCGGAUCUUUAACCCACUGAGCAAGGCCAGGGAUCGAACCCACAACCUCAUGGUUCCUAGUCAGAUUCAUUUCCACUGCGCCACAAUGAGAACUCCCUGAUAGCAAUAUUAACUAGUUAAAAAUUUAAGAAAUUGUCUUAGAGGAGUUCCCGCCAUGGCUCAGCAGAAAUGAAUCUGACUGGUAUCCAUAAGGACACAGGUUCGUUCCGUGGCCUCACUCAGUGGGUUAAGGAUCUGACUUGCCGUGAGCUGUGGUGUGGGUCGAAGACGCAGCUCGGAUCUGGUAUGCUAUUGCUGUGGCUUAGGCCAAGAGCUACAGCUCCAAUUUGACCCCUAGCCUGGGAACCUCCAUAUGCCAUUGGGUGUGGUCCUAAAAAAGACAAAAAUAUAAAAUUGCCCUAGAAAUGCAGAUUUAACACCUCAAGUCAGAGAAAAUAAAUGUACAUGCUAAAGAAUUAUACUUAUGGGA